CAGCAGCCGCGGUAAUACAGAGGUCUCAAGCGUUGUUCGGAUUCAUUGGGCGUAAAGGGUGCGUAGGUGGCGGUGUAAGUCUAACGUGAAAUCUCGGGGCUCAACCUCGAAAUUGCGUCGGAUACUGCAUUGCUAGAGGAUUGUAGAGGAGAGUGGAAUUCAUGGUGUAGCAGUGAAAUGCGUAGAUAUCAUGAGGAAGACCAGUUGCGAAGGCGACUCUCUGGGCAAUUCCUGACACUGAGGCACGAAAGCGUGGGGAGCAAACAGGAUUAGAUACCCCCGUAGUCCCUGUCUCUUAUAC
rnacentral:rRNA from 1 species